rnacentral:rRNA from 1 species
AAAUUGAAGAGUUUGAUCAUGGCUCAGAUUGAACGCUGGCGGCAGGCCUAACACAUGCAAGUCGAACGGUAGCACAGAGAGCUUGCUCUCGGGUGACGAGUGGCGGACGGGUGAGUAAUGUCUGGGAAACUGCCUGAUGGAGGGGGAUAACUACUGGAAACGGUGGCUAAUACCGCAUAACGUCGCAAGACCAAAGAGGGGGACCUUCGGGCCUCUUGCCAUCAGAUGUGCCCAGAUGGGAUUAGCUUGUUGGUGAGGUAACGGCUCACCAAGGCGACGAUCCCUAGCUGGUCUGAGAGGAUGACCAGCCACACUGGAACUGAGACACGGUCCAGACUCCUACGGGAGGCAGCAGUGGGGAAUAUUGCACAA